AGGUGGUGGUAAUGUGCCAAGAAAUGCUGCAAUCCACCACUAAAAGCAGGAAAGAAUAUUACUACUAGCCGGCCGCCAGAGAGCAGAAAACCACCGGACCAGAGGGAUGAACGUCUGAGUGAUCUCCACGGUGUUUGAGCCAGAUGAUACUAAUUCUGCUUUUGCCGUCUGCCCCACUCCCC